CCUUUGUUAUAUAUUGCACAUAACAUAUAGAUCUCAAAUUCUGCAGCAGUUUCUAGCUUUCACACAUUUAAGACAGCAGCUUGGACGAGUGAAAAUGAACAGCAAGAUGUACACAUUUCUGGUACUCGCCUUCUUAUUACUGGUAACAGGCAUCUGUGUUGAUGCCGAGCUUCGUCGGAUCGGUGGAGUCAGGGGAAGGCCUAGAUUUGGGAUCGGUCGAGGAGGACAAGGCGGACGGGUCCCAGUGUACAUUGGACGGAGAGGACUCGAUGUUAACUGAACUACGGCUGUACAUGCAGAAACCUGAAUCAGUUAUUCGCAUAUAAAGUUACUGAAGUUUCAAAUUAUUAGCAUGUUUAAAAACAAUAGCAAAUAAAAAGUGUUUUGGCGACUUAAA